CACCAGUCUGCAGGACAUUUCUCUGGUGAGUACACUUCCGUUGUGACCACACUGGUCUGUGUCUCCAUUAACCUUGAGACUAGACCGUUCAAUCAUCGGUGUCUCCAGUGGUUGUCAGAUGAGGGUGAGGUCUGGAUCCUCAGUGUGUACGUGUACCUGUCCUUGUGUUUUCCCUCAGGAUCUGGUGCCUCUGGGAUACUUGGAGAAGCUUUUUAUUAAGCAGCGUCACUGGGAAAGUGGGGACGUGGGAGCCAACUGUUUGACCGAGGACGAGAGGAUCAGUUUCUUUCAGCGGCAGCAGUUUGUUCUUCAGUUUUUCCUGGGAUACCUUAAAAUAGAUCCUCACUCCUCGUGGAGUCCCUUCAUUCCCUCCUGUGCGGUCAUGCACUCCAUACCUCCUGCCGCCUGGACUCCCAGCAGUCUGCUCAGCAUGUCGUCUGUGGACUUCUACAACUGUCUGGAACUUAUGGGUCGUGACCCAUACAUUGCAAACUACCAACGUAGCCAGUUGCUUAACAAAGUCAAGAAGAUAUUUGGCCCAGUCUUCUCCUUCUCUCAGCCUGUAAUCUCUCAGCUGGGUGCACUGGCUAAAGAAAUGACAGAAGAAGAGCUCAGCAGCCUCCACUUGGUAGAGAGGAGGAGCAUUGCUGCUCUGGGUGCUGUCCAAGGCUGGAGCCAGAAACAGCUGGCAGUGCUCUCCAGCCGAGUGUUCAACUCCACCAAACAGACUCCCAUUCAGCUGGACUCCAGCACACUGGUGGCAAUGGGACACAUCUUGUGUGGAGCUAAAAGCACAAACCUGAGCUCCCUGAAUGCUGUGGAAUUCAGUAAGGCAGCGCUCUUUCUGGGUCAGCUGCAGCUCGCGUGCUCUGAGGAGCAGCUGGAAGUUUUUGUCAGGCUGCUGACACACCCCCUUGCUUUUGGACCCAUAAGUUCAUGGGGGACUGGCGUUUUCAUUGAGAUUGGUGUUCUGGCAGCUGGUAUCACAGAUUUUGCCAUGUCAGCUUUGGUGAGAGAGCAGAUUGAGGGAAUGACACCUGAAGCCAUUUCAAGGAUUCCACCUGAAAGAUUUUACGUGGCCUUGAACCAAAGACAGAUCAGCAUGUUCUCAUAUGAGCAGGCUGCUGCAGUGACUAAUGAGCAGUACAAUAUUCUGUCAGAAGUCCAGAAGACGGCUCUGUCUAUGGCACUGACCCCUUGGGAGAACAGGCCUGUGGACUUUAGAGGGCGAUCAGGGGCAUUGUCGCUGAGCCAUAGUCCUGUAUGUCUCACACUUGGGCUGUUGAUGCUGCUCUUUGUCCUCCAUGGUCCUGCCCAAUGACACCGUUAAGUCAUGUGUCUUCAGGUGGAGUCUCCUCCAGAUAACUCAGACAAUCUGCUCCAAUCUGUGCAAUACAAUAUCCUUAUUGAUAAUCGGCACUUGAUAAUCGACAGAAUUCCUGUCAGAUGUAUGACAGCAGUUUUAAUGUAUCACCUAAAGAACACAGCACUAACCAUGCAUUGAAACAUAUUUCAAAUAAAGGUAAAAACAGUACCACAGUAUAAACACUAUAGCUAACAACACCAAAUAUAACAACAUGAUGUUCUCACUUGCCUUCCUGUUCAUUUUUGCUUUUAUUUUGAUAUCCACCCUUGGUCCCGAUCUCUUCUAUUCAGGGACUUGAUGCCAUACGCAAAAGAGCAACCCCACAACUUAGCAACUGAUUGUAAUAUUGCAUUUAUAUCCAUCUAUAUCUACAUGUAGAUAUAGAUGGGUAUGCAUAUAUACAGUAUAGCCCUCCCCUGGUUUAAACAGACUAGGUUAUUAUUGUCCUUUCAAACCCCAUGCACGCAAAGGAGGAAGAUCUGCCCCUGUUGCUGUAUAUACAUACAUGUAUAUGUAUAUAUGUAUAUACAUAUAUACAUAUAUGUGUGCGUGUGUAUGUACAGUAUAUAUAUGUGAGAGCGUCAUCACUGAGUAACAUAUAUCUAGACGCAGCUAUGUUGCACUAGCAUAAAGUUAUGUAUUUUUGUGAAAUUCUAUAUUUUUAUCAAAGUCACCGCUUUAAUACUUCCUGUUUAUACAUUCUAAGAAUCAUCUGUCUUCAUGAUGAAAUCACGUGUAUAUAACAUGUACUGUACAGUAUAUAACGCUCAUUUGUCAGUGUUCUCUUUUAGGGCUCAGGAGGAAACCUGAGACCGCCUGUUUUUGAUUCAAACUUCUAAAUAUUCUUAUGUUAUUGGCGUGUGAAGCUUGUAAACUUUGGGAAUUGAAAAAUAGUUGAUGUAAAAAUGUACCUCCCCCUCGGUUUAAGGGACAAAGACCUUGCGUUCAGUACAACACGAUCCAGUCUAUUUGCAGUGAGUUUUGUAUUCUUGUACACGCUCGUGUCAUGUAAGCAUCAGUUAUUAAAGCCGACCACUCUGCCUCAGUUCUGUCUUGACAUUGUCCUUAUUCACAUACAUAGAUGAUCAUCUUCUAAGGAAUGUAUUGAAUCAUAGUUUAAUGUCUGGCAAUGACAUUCAUCUACCAAUCUUGGGUUUGUUUUAUAAACAGGUCUAGAUGUAAUGUAGUCACAAAAAAAUUAGUUUGUUUUUCAGUCCAUUGUGAAGGUUCAGUUAAUUUCGAUUUAAAUAAUGAAAUAAACUAAGACAGCAGCUAGCACCCAAUCCUUAAUGUGACCAUACUGUAGAAUCAGACCAACUCCCCAAGACACAGUUUUGAACUCAAAUAAAUCUGCAAUUUUUAUAUUUGUGGCAGAAUUGUGUGAUUUUUAGAGCAUACUGUAAAGAGAGAGUGUUGGUACAAGAUGUGCUAAUGUUAGGAAAAUGACUGUGUCUUUGAUCUUUGGUUCGUAGUGUUUAAUCAUUUGACAUUUGCCUGCCUUUCAUCAUCACGACAAACUAUUUGCUUAGAGAAACUGGACCAGAGCACCGCAACCUAACAGACUGUUUAAAACACCAAAGAUUAGCAGCAACACUAUGGAAGCCAACUUUCACAAAACAACAAAGAAAAAGAGCCUGUUUUAUUUCCUACCAAAAACUUAGAGGUACUCACUGAAGACUCAGUAAUCGAGGAGCGUGCCGAGGACGUUCGAUAAGUCGAUAGUGACGUGCAGACACUGGGAGCCGUUUCCGAGCGUGGUCGCCGGCUGCAUCGCUGACUCCACUGUCAAACACAAGCAACACAGCCAACAUGGCGGACUGGGACGCGGACAGCUUUGAGCCAGACGAGCCGAUUAAAAAGGCGGCAGGGCAGGACAAAUGGGAAGGAGAAGACGAGGAGGAAGAUGUUAAGAACUGGAAGUUGAACGAAAACACAGAAGCAAGACAAGAUAACUGGGAUGAUGAGGAUGAAGAGGAGGAGAAAAAAACAGAGG